UAAAGGGCUGCAGUAUAUUGACUGUACAAAGGUAGCAUAAUCAUUAGUCUUUUAAUUGAAGACUUGUAUGAAGGAUUUGAUGAAAUAUAAACUGUCUCUAAUUUAUAAAUAGAAAUUAAUUUUUUAAUUAAAAAGUUAAAAUAUUAUUAAAAGACGAGAAGACCCUAUAGAGUUUUAUAAUUUAUUUAUUUAAUUAUAAAAUAUAUAUUUAAAUUAAUAAAUAGAUAAAUUAUUAUAUUGGGGUGAUAAAAAAAUUUAAUAAACUUUUUUUAAUUAAAUAACAUAAAUAAAUGAAAAAAUGAUCCAUUAUUAAUGAUUAAAAGAAAAAAUUACCUUAGGGAUAACAGCGUAAUAUUUUUUUUUAGUACAAAUAAAAAAAAAAGUUUGCGACCUCGAUGUUGGAUUAAGAUAAAAUUUAAAUGCAAAAGUUUAAAAGUUUUGAUCUGUUCGAUCAUUAAAAUCUUACAUGAUCUGAGCUA
rnacentral:rRNA from 1 species